UACGGGGGGGGCAAGCGUUGUUCGGAAUUACUGGGCGUAAAGGGCUUGUAGGUGGCUUGUUAAGUCAGACGUGAAAUCCCUCAGCUUAACUGGGGAACUGCGUCUGAUACUGGCGAGCUUGAGUGCAGGAGAGGAACGCGGAAUUCCAGGUGUAGCGGUGAAAUGCGUAGAUAUGUGGAGGAACACCGAUGGCGAAGGCAGCCCCCUGGGUUAACACUGACGCUCAUGCACGAAAGCGUGGGGAGCAAACAGG
rnacentral:rRNA from 1 species